rnacentral:rRNA from 1 species
GAUGAACGCUGGCGGCGUGCCUAAUACAUGUAAGUCGAGCGAACAGACGAGGAGCUUGCUCCUCUGACGUUAGCGGCGGACGGGUGAGUAACACGUGGAUAACCUACCUAUAAGACUGGGAUAACUUCGGGAAACCGGAGCUAAUACCGGAUAAUAUAUUGAACCGCAUUGUUCAAUAGUGAAAGACGGUUUUGCUGUCACUUAUAGAUGGAUCCGCGCCGCAUUAGCUAGUUGGUAAGGUAACGGCUUACCAAGGCAACGAUGCGUAGCCGACCUGAGAGGGUGAUCGGCCACACUGGAACUGAGACACGGUCCAGACUCCUACGGGAGGCAGCAGUAGGGAAUCUUCCGCAAUGGGCGAAAGCCUGACGGAGCAACGCCGCGUGAGUGAUGAAGGUCUUCGGAUCGUAAAACUCUGUUAUUAGGGAAGAACAAAUGUGUAAGUAACUAUGCACGUCUUGACGGUACCUAAUCAGAAAGCCACGGCUAACUACGUG